rnacentral:rRNA from 1 species
CUACACGACCGUACCGCAAACCGACACUGGUGCGCGAGAUGAGUAUUCUAAGGCGCUUGAGAGAACUCAGGAGAAGGAACUCGGCAAAUUGACACCGUAACUUCGGAAGAAGGUGUGCCUUUAGUAGGUGAACCUGUACAAGGGGAGCCCAAUGAGGUUGCAAAAAAUCGGUGGCUGCGACUGUUUAAUAAAAACACAGCACUCUGCAAACACGAAAGUGGACGUAUAGGGUGUGACGCCUGCCCGGUGCUGGAAGAUUAAAUGAUGGGGUGCAAGCUCUUGAUUGAAGUCCCAGUAAACGGCGGCCGUAACGAUAACGGUCCUAAGGUAGCGAAAUUCCUUGUCGGGUAAAUUCCGACCUGCACGAAUGGCGUAACGAUGGCCACACUGUCUCCUCCUGAGACUCAGCGAAGUUGAAAUGUUUGUGAUGAUGCAAUCUCCCCGCGGAAAGACGGAAAGACCCCAUGAACCUUUACUGUAGCUUUGUAUUGGACUUUGAACAGAUCUGUGUAGGAUAGGUGGGAGGCUUUGAAGUGUGGUCGCUAGAUCGCAUGGAGCCAACGUUGAAAUACCACCCUGGUGUGUUUGAGGUUCUAACCUAGGCCCGUAAUCCGGGUCGGGGACAGUGCAUGGUAGGCAGUUUGACUGGGGCGGUCUCCUCCCAAAGCGUAACGGAGGAGUUCGAAGGUACGCUAGGUACGGUCGGACAUCGUGCUAAUAGUGCAAUGGCAUAAGCGUGCUUAACUGCGAGACUGACAAGUCGAGCAGAUGCGAAAGCAGGACAUAGUGAUCCGGUGGUUCUGUAUGGAAGGGCCAUCGCUCAACGGAUAAAAGGUACUCUGGGGAUAACAGGCUGAUACCGCCCAAGAGUUCAUAUCGACGGCGGUGUUUGGCACCUCGAUGUCGGCUCAUCUCAUCCUGGGGCUGUAGCCGGUCCCAAGGGUAUGGCUGUUCGCCAUUUAAAGAGGUACGUGAGCUGGGUUUAAAACGUCGUGAGACAGUUUGGUCCCUAUCUUCCGUGGGCGCUGCAGAUUUGAGGAAGCCUGCUCCUAGUACGAGAGGACCGGAGUGGACACACCUCUGGUGUAUCGGUUGUCACGCCAGUGGCAUUGCCGAGUAGCUAUGUGUGGAAGAGAUAACCGCUGAAAGCAUCUAAGCGGGAAACUCGUUUCAAGAUGAGAUCUGCCGGGGCCUUGAGCCCCCUAAAGAGUCGUUCAAGACCAGGACGUUGAUAGGUCGGGUGUGGAAGCGCAGUAAUGCGUUAAGCUAACCGAUACUAAUUGCUCGUGCGGCUUGACCA